AAGAUUAUACUUUCUGGGAUCAUUUCUAUAGUUGCUGACUUGAGAAAUGUGUUUUGAAAGUGUUUGGUUUCACCAACCACAAUAAAGCGUUUUUAUACUUCUUCCUGAGCAUGAAAUGGACAGAAAAAAAAUGAUACGUUUCAUUUGUUUUUUUGUUUUUGGUGAUUGUUCAUUGUCUUGUCUCGGGGCGAUGAGAGAAGGAGUAUGGUCAGAGUGGU